GUGCCAGCAGCCGCGGUAAUACAGACGGUCCAAACGUUAUUCGGAAUCACUGGGCUUAAAGAGUUCGUAGGCGGUCAGGAAAGUGGGGUGUGAAAGCCCUCGGCUUAACCGAGGAAUUGCGCUCCAAACUCCCUGACUUGAGGAGGCUAGAGGUAAGCGGAACUGAUGGUGGAGCGGUGAAAUGCGUUGAUAUCAUCAGGAACACCGGAGGCGAAGGCGGCUUACUGGGGCCUUUCUGACGCUGAGGAACGAAAGCUAGGGGAGCGAACGGGAUUAGAAACCCCCGUAGUCC
rnacentral:rRNA from 1 species